rnacentral:rRNA from 1 species
CCUACGGGAGGCAGCAGUGAGGAAUCUUGGUCAAUGGGCGAGAGCCUGAACCAGCCAAGUCGCGUGAGGGAGUACUGCCCUCUGGGUUGUAAACCUCUUUUGUCGGGGAGCAAAAGCCGGACGUGUCCGGCUGUGAGCGUACCCGAAGAAAAAGCAUAGACUAACUACGUGCCAGCAGCCGCCGUCAUACGGAGGAUGCGAGCGUUGUCCGGAUGUAUUGGGUUUAAAGGGUGCGCAGGCGGAUUUUUAAGUCAGAGGUCAAAUGUUGGGGGUAAAACCCAACCAGCCGUUGAAACUGGGGAUCUAGAGUGUGCGAGAGGUAUGCGGAAUGCGAGGUGUAGCGGUGAAAUGCAUAGAUAUCACGAAGAACACCGAUGGCGAAGGCAGCAUACCGGUGCACAACUGACGCUCAGGCACGAAAGCGUGGGUAUCGAACAGGAUUAGAUACCCGUGUAGUC